rnacentral:lncRNA from 1 species
UUCAGUGUGUACCAAGAAUGAGCAGUGGGGACCUGUGGAUAUCUUCUCCUUACCAGGUGUGGAAUGUGUAUUCUGACUCCGGGAGCCUGGCUAAUGGAAGGAGGCUGUACCCACAGAGCUGAGUGGAAAAGAAGCCAGAUGAUCCAGCAGAGCAGAGCAGUCUCAUCCCCAGCAGGCACCACUGCCUCAAGAUCGUCUGCCUUGGUGGAGUGGAAGCUUUGCCUGACAAUACAAGAUGUUGUAGCCUGUCAAACCCUGUUUCCUUAAAACAUCCUGAGAAGACUGAAGUAAAAGCACAAUCGAGUUUGGAGUCUUACGUAUUGAAUUCUGAGCUGAAUUUUCUUGUGUGAGUUUUUUUAAUUACUAUCCUGGUGGGAGGAUUUGGGGAAAAAAGGGGGGGAAAUCCCCAUACAUAUUCUGAAAAACCAAAUGCUUUUGUGUAGAAAAAGAGCUGCAGUUUUUUAGCCACUCCUGCUCUUACAGAAGUAUGUAUGGGCUAAUAGUGGAAAUAAUGUCUACACUGUGGUUACAAAACCAAGCUAUUUUAAUUGUUGCUAUUGAGAGACAAGUAUCAGCAUUCUGCAUCUUAAAUCAUCUGGAAAAAUGUAUUCCUUGGCUAUUUUUCCAUUGAAUGAAAUGUUGUUUAAAACAGAGAAAACAGUUCUACUUCCUGAUAUGUUUUUAGUGUGUCUUCAGGGCAUUGCUAUUUAUUUUGCAAGGUCAGAGUAACUUGAAUGCUAUUCAUUUCCCUGAAUUUUUGAAAUAGAGCCUAGCAUCUAUCAAUUAAAGUGACAGAUGGACUUCUGUCUAUUGUAUGCUACAAUCACUGGUAUUUCAGAACUAUUUGCUUCUACAUCAGUUCUCUACUUGGC